rnacentral:rRNA from 1 species
CCUACGGGAGGCAGCAGUGGGGAAUUUUGGACAAUGGGCGCAAGCCUGAUCCAGCAAUGCCGCGUGAGUGAAGAAGGCCUUCGGGUUGUAAAGCUCUUUUGUCAGGGAAGAAACGGCAGUUUCUAAUACAGAUUGCUAAUGACGGUACCUGAAGAAUAAGCACCGGCUAACUACGUGCCAGCAGCCGCGGUAAUACGUAGGGUGCAAGCGUUAAUCGGAAUUACUGGGCGUAAAGCGUGCGCAGGCGGUUUUGUAAGUUUGUCGUGAAAUCCCCGGGCUCAACCUGGGAAUGGCGAUGAAGACUGCAAGGCUAGAAUCUGGCAGAGGGGGGUAGAAUUCCACGUGUAGCAGUGAAAUGCGUAGAGAUGUGGAGGAACACCGAUGGCGAAGGCAGCCCCCUGGGUCAAGAUUGACGCUCAUGCACGAAAGCGUGGGGAGCAAACAGGAUUAGAUACCCUGGUAGUCCACGCCCUAAACGAUGUCUACUAGUUGUCGGGUUUUAACUAACUUGGUAACGCAGCUAACGCGUGAAGUAGACCGCCUGGGGAGUACGGUCGCAAGAUUAAAACUCAAAGGAAUUGACGG